rnacentral:rRNA from 1 species
CAGUAGCCACGGUAAUACAGAGGAUGCAAGCGUUAUCCGGAAUGAUUGGGCGUAAAGCGUCUGUAGGUGGCUUUUCAAGUCCGCCGUCAAAUCCCAGGGCUCAACCCUGGACAGGCGGUGGAAACUACCAAGCUGUAGUACGGUAGGGGCAGAGGGAGUUUCCGGUGGAGCGGUGAAAUGCGUUGAGAUCGGAAAGAACACCAACGGCGAAAGCACUCUGCUGGGCCGACACUGACACUGAGAGACGAAAGCUAGGGGAGCAAAUGGGAUUAGAUACCCGCGUAGUCCCUGUCUCUUAUAC